AGUGAACGCUGGCGGUAGGCCUAACACAUGCAAGUCGAACGGCAGCACAGUAAGAGCUUGCACUUACGGGUGGCGAGUGGCGGACGGGUGAGGAAUACAUCGGAAUCUACUUUUUCGUGGGGGAUAACGUAGAGAAACUUACGCUAAUACCGCAUACGACCUACGGGUGAAAGCAGGGGAUCUUCGGACCUUGCGCGAUUGAAUGAGCCGAUGUCGGAUUAGCUAGUUGGCGGGGUAAAGGCCCACCAAGGCGACGAUCCGUAGCUGGUCUGAGAGGAUGAUCAGCCACACUGGAACUUAGACACGGUCCAGACUCCUACGGGAGGCCGCAGUGGGCAAUAUUGGGCAAUGGGCGGAAGCCUGAUCCAGCCAUCCCGCGUGGGUGAAGAAGGCCUUCGGGUUGUAAAGCCCUUUUUUUGGGAAAGAACAGCAGCAGGUUAAGACCCCGCUGUUCUGACGGUACCCAAAGAAUAAGCACCGGCUAACUUCGUG
rnacentral:rRNA from 1 species